rnacentral:rRNA from 1 species
AUACGAAGGGGGCUAGCGUUGUUCGGAUUUACUGGGCGUAAAGCGCACGUAGGCGGAUUGAUUAGUUAGGGGUGAAAUCCCGAGGCUCAACCUCGGAACUGCCUUUAAUACUGUCAAUCUCGAGACCGGAAGAGGUGAGUGGAAUUCCUAGUGUAGAGGUGGAAUUCAUAGAUAUUAGGAAGAACACCAGUGGCGAAGGCGGCUCACUGGUCCGGUACUGACGCUGAGGUGCGAAAGCGUGGGGAGCGAACAGGAUUAGAUACCCCAGUAGUCC